CGAGUCUUUUAAUAUAAGCUGAUUUAUGAAUUACAGGUGAUUCAACUAUACGGGGUGACUGUAGCUUUUCGAGGUGCGUUGGAUUCUCAGCGAUAGGCGAUGGAAUGGAUGGAUGGCUUUGCGUCAGCUCUUGGUUCGAUUCGGUUGCCAAUGAGCCUGUUUACAAUAUCCCAGGCAUGGGAAAGUGACACCAGCCAACGGAAGAACCUGAAACGAACGGAAAUUCUAUCCAGCCGAAUACCACGAACCUUUGAGCGCAAAAAAGGUGCAUUACAGCACUGGUACAGAGAGAUACAGCCGACGACGGUGACACGGAAUACACACGAAAUGGAAAAACGAGCAUUCAUCAACAACGGAAAAAAGCAAGAGAAUUGCUAAUUGAAAUGUGAUACAGUGCAAAUAAACUUGCAAAACAUCUCCCGACACGUCGGGUAUAUUCCUGCGCAAGAGAGCGACAAAAAAGAUCAUAAACAUGCAAGAAAAUAAAACUGCAAAGCGGCA